UGAGUCAUUACCCAUUUGAAGAAUCCUGUGCAGAUUACAUAAAUUUGCACAAUCUGCAAAGGCUUCUCCAAGUGCGAUAAGUUAUAAACCACAAACCAAUUAUUCCUUUAAAAGUAACACAUUUUUGCAUGCUUUAAUGGUUUUACUU